rnacentral:lncRNA from 1 species
CCACUGCGUUGCUUGCUGAUGGUGUAGGUGAGGCUGCACAGAUCUACUGCGAGUUAGUCCGUCUUGGUGCUCAAAUGCAAGUGCUUGAUAUUGGAGGCGGGUUGGGAAUUGAUUAUGAUGGAUCCAAAUCUGGUGAUUCGGAUAUAUCUGUUGCUUAUGGACUCGAAGAAUAUGCUCAUGCUGUUGUGCAAGCUGUUAAGUUUGUUUGCGAUAGGAAGAACAUUAAACAUCCGGUGCUUUGCAGCGAAAGUGGUCGGGCUAUCGUUUCUCAUCACUCCAUUUUGAUUUUUGAAGCUGUCUCCGCAAGCAUGUCAAGUGCAGCUGCAUCAAUGACUUCUGCAGGGUUUCAGUAUUUUGUGGAUGGACUUACGGAGGAUGCAAUUUCUGAUUACAGAAACUUAACAUCUGCAGCUAUGAGAGGUGAGAACGAUACCUGCUUGCUCUAUGCUGACCAAUUGAAACAAAGAUGUGUUGAUCAGUUCAAAGAAGGUAGUAUCGGUAUGGAACAAUUAGCUGCUGUUGAUAGUUUAUGUGAAUUGGUUGGUAAAGCUGUUGGAUUAUCG